rnacentral:rRNA from 1 species
AACGAACGCUGGCGGCGUGCUUAACACAUGCAAGUCGGACGGUUGGCACUGGAAGGUUCGCUGGAAGGUGCUGAUAGUGGCGGACGGGUGAGUAACGCGUGAGGACAUGUCUGCAGGAGGGGGAUAACGUUUGGAAACGGACGCUAAGACCCCGUAAGCCGGGAGGUGAAAGUGGCGAAAGCCAGCCUGUGGAGUGACUCGCGUCCUAUCAGCUAGUUGGCGGGGUGAAGGCCCACCAAGGCGAUGACGGGUAGCCGACCUGAGAGGGUGGCCGGCCACACUGGGACGGAGAUACGGUCCAGAAUCCUACGGGAGGCAGCAGUGGGGAAUAUUGGGCAAUGGGCGGAAGCCUGACCCAGCGACGCCGCGUGGGGGAAGAAGUCUUUCGUGAUGUAAACCCUUGUUGUACGGGACGAAGGAAGUGACGGUACCGUACGAGGAAGCCCCGGCAAACUACGUGCCAGCCGCCGCGGUAACAC